AGUGAACGCUGGCGGUAGGCCUAACACAUGCAAGUCGAACGGCAGCACAGUAGGAGCUUGCUCUUACGGGUGGCGAGUGGCGGACGGGUGAGGAAUACAUCGGAAUCUACUUUUUCGUGGGGGAUAACGUAGGGAAACUUACGCUAAUACCGCAUACGACCUACGGGUGAAAGCAGGGGAUCUUCGGACCUUGCGCGAUUGAAUGAGCCGAUGUCGGAUUAGCUAGUUGGCGGGGUAAAGGCCCACCAAGGCGACGAUCCGUAGCUGGUCUGAGAGGAUGAUCAGCCACACUGGAACUGAGACACGGUCCAGACUCCUACGGGAGGCAGCAGUGGGGAAUAUUGGACAAUGGGCGCAAGCCUGAUCCAGCCAUACCGCGUGGGUGAAGAAGGCCUUCGGGUUGUAAAGCCCUUUUGUUGGGAAAGAAAAGCAGCAGGUUAAUAACCCGCUGUUCUGACGGUACCCAAAGAAUAAGCACCGGCUAACUUCGUG
rnacentral:rRNA from 1 species